ACACACAACAACAAGAAUACUACAAGCAACUCAAGCCUUGUAAAUCUCUCUGUAGUGCAAUACAAGUUCUUCAUUUGGCUUCAUUGCUUUCUUCUCUAGUUCGAGAAGCUCUAGGCUUACUUAGCAACCUUUGGCAAGUUGUCUAAGUGUCGCACGGGUUAGCUGCGCAAAAUACUCAACUUAUAAAGGAAGUUGGACAAAUUUGAGACACAGAUUCGACCUAAGGAAGCAGAGGCACAAUAGGAGAUAGGCGAUGAUUAUUCUACGAGUUUUUCCUUCUUCUUCUAUGACUUUUAGUAUUGUAGUUUUACAUACUAUUAUGAAUAGUUAAUUUAUUAUCUAGGGUUUUGAUGGAACCUUUUGUAGAAUAAAUUCUUGGUAUGUUUUUAUAUAAUUGAGCCGUACUAUUUUCUCU
rnacentral:lncRNA from 1 species